rnacentral:misc_RNA from 1 species
ACAUUUAUUUUAAUUACACUCCAUAGAAAAAUACUGCUUGAUAUUUGAGGAACAGAGGUAGGAUUGUAAUUAAAUUGUGUUUAUUUAUUGACGAAUGUAUCUGAUACACUUCAGGUAAACGUGAACCAUAUAAUGAAUAUUUCAACCGUCCUUGAAAAUGAGGAAAGAUACUUGUCAUCUAGGCGCUUUUAUGACGAUGUAUAUGUAGAAGAGAGGGAAAAUAUAGUGUUGCGAAUCGAGAGGAACGUGUGGAAGACGGAAUCAAAUUCCAGCCUUGUAGGGGACUACUCUAUGCAGUUCUUAAACGACCACAUGGGAAAACCGCGAGUAGAUGGACACUUUCAUAUUCCGAGUCUUCCCCAAGCAAACGUAACUAUUGUAAUGCUGCUUAUUGACAGACACAUGAAGGGGCACCGGACUACUGGAAAUACGUCCGAUGGUGUAAUCAGGAUAAGCCCUGUACUAUCUUUGUCUGCCUUUAAAGGAGAGGUUUCCCUGAGUCUGGAACACUCAUUCACACUGCGCCAUUACCCAUCAGUCGUUGAGACUAUUAACGGAAAUGAUGGAACCAAAGAAAGAGGAAUCGAGUGCGGGUAUUUAGAUCAACAAACCAGGUUAUGGGCCUAUGAUGGUUGUUUUGUGCUCCACACUUCCCCUUUGAAUACCACGUGCUUCUGUAACCACACUACAAAUUUUGCUAUUCUGAUGCAGGUCAAAGAGUUUGAGAUUUCCAGUAGUCACAGUAUGGCCCUCAAUAUUGUCACCUAUAUCGGAUGUACCGUCUCUUUAAUCACCCAGCUUUUAGCCAUCAGCGUUUUCUCUUGCCUACCAUCGUUGAACUCGGAGAGAACAUGUGUGCACAGGAACCUUUGUUUUGCCAUAACUGCAGCACAGCUGCUCUUUUUGACUGGUAUUAAAGCAGUUCAGAUUAAGUUUAUUUGUUCUGUUGUGGCACUUCUUCUGCACUAUUUCUACUCUGCUGUUUUUGUGUGGAUGUUGGUUGAGGGACUUCUGCUGUACAGUAAAGUGGUGCAAGUGUUCGGCAGUGAAAAGUCCAGAAUAGCUUACUAUUAUGCAUUUGGAUGGGGAGUCCCUUUAAUCAUUGUUGUUAUAUCGGCUACAUCUAACUGGAGCGGAUAUGGAACAGAAAAUAGUUGCUGGUUGUCUAUGGCUAACGGUGCUGUCUGGGCGUUCGUCGGUCCCGCUGUGUCUGUCAUCAUCGUGAACAUGGUGAUCCUAUGGUUGGUAGUUCGAAUUGUAAUCAAUCUGGAGAGAUGUGACGAAUACAGACAAAUAAGAUCUGGUGUAAAGAGUGCUAUUUUCUUACUUCCACUGUUGGGCCUUACCUGGAUAUUUGGUCUCCUGGCUGUAAAUAAAGACACAGUCAUUUUUCAGUAUAUUUUUGCUUUCCUUAACUCAUUACAGGGUUUCUUCAUAUUUUUAUUCCACUGUGUCUGCAACUCAGAGGUCCGACAAGCUGUAAAACGAAUGCGAGAGAGACGAGUUUUAUCCAAACAAGAAUUUUUUAACGCUUCAGAAACACAAAAUCAAAGUGUACGUGAUCAAGUUUUUCUGUAGAAAAUGCUAGUAAAAGUUUUAGAUAAUAUAAUUAUUUAUCUUACAUUCUUGAUAUCAACCGACUGUUUCAUAAAAAAAUUAUUAUUAAAUUUGUAACUACGUAAUUUCUCAGAUCGAUUCUUUUUGAUAGAAAGCUUUAUUCAUAUACCCUUAAAAUGAAUCACUGGUACAAAAUCACGACGUUUGAGCUGAAAAUUGACACAAUCGUAUGAUAUCGUUGUGGACAAUUCCCACUAGACAUAUCUGAAUUUAAAACAUGCUCUUCAAUUUCUCGUGCAUUACUGGAUAUUGACAUGACUCCAUUAUAAGUCGCUGACAGCUGCAUUUCUGCAUUGCGGGUUUCAUAAUAAACCGUUUUCUUAAAAGAAAAACAGGUUUUAACUUUUUUGAACAUCAUUUGUCUUUGGGUAUUAAAUUCCAUGCAUCUGUGGAUACCAAAUAUCUUAUGGUAUUCAACAAAUGGAAUAUUGGUACGGGUUUUUCGUUUUCCAAACGUUGCAAAAAGAUUCACAUGACUGUUACAGUACAUAAUCUACAUUAUUCGGUUACUACAUUUUUUGUAUAAAAACUUAAUUUUCAUUGUUUGUACAUUUACAAAAAAUUCUCAUGUACAGCAUAUUUUAGGGUAAUAAAAAGCAUGAUCUUAACAUCGCUAUAUAAAAAAAUUGCAUUCAGCAAAAUGUCUAAUAUUUAGAAUCAUGAUCAUGUUCACCAACAAAAUUCAAUGUAAAAUUAUACUUGUCUAUGCUGUGUUUGAUUUGGUUUUCUAAUUUAAGGGUGGGGCAUGUUCCCUCAAAAAUGACCAGAUGCUAGGAAAACCAAAUGGUGAUGAUUUAAGGAAAGUUUAUCCACCGUUACACAUGACGUCGUCGACAUGCAUCAGCAGUAAUGGAAACGCCUUAUUGGACAACUUGAAGCUUGAAGAUGUGACUAGAGAGAAUGACCUUGUAUUUAUUUGACUUACUCCAAGAAUUGGUAUUGUACAAUUAACAUUAAAGGACAUACAUAACUGUUAUGUGAUUCACUGAGAAUGUCAGUAAACUUUGUGUCAGUUUUCAAUGAUGUUGUAUAUUACUUGACGAAACUAUAUACGGUAGUUUGGGAAACCACCAUUUUGUGACGUACGUCAUAUCGAAAUAAACUUAAAAUCAAGUGU